UGGAAGUUUCCGUUUCAAAGCUAAAGGGGCCAGUCGAGUGGAAAGCCGCGAAGAGUCCAGCGUAUUACAAACGUGUGGAUUUUGUUCAUGGUUUGAAGGUGGAUGGUAUGUAUGCCCUCGCUGUGAAGCAAGCUUGCAAGUUUGCUAAAGAACAUGCCUUGAAGAGUGGACCAAUAAUUCUUGAAAUGGACAUACACUUGUAGGUAUCAUGGUCGCUCCAUGUUUGAUCUUGGAAGUACCUAUAUAACACGUGAUGAGAUUAGUGGUGUUAGGCAUGAGCGUGAUCCAAUUGAAAGAAUUAGGAAGUUGAUAUUAUCCCAUAACCUAGCUUCUGAGAAAGAGUUGAAGGACAUCGAGAAGGAAGUGAUAAAAGAGGUGGACGAUGCAAUCACUCGAACAAAGGAAAGUCCAAUGCAUAAGCCUUCAAAGCUCUUC